ACUCCAGGUCAUUGCUGUGAAUCACGCCACAGUCUUUUCAACUAGCCAUCAGUGUACUCCGAGCUCUAGCAACUACGGCCACAAAAGGCUGGAUGACUUCUGAUGUUCUCAUACCUUGUCAAUGAAGCGUAGGGCCAAUGCAAGAAGCUACUCUGUGUGGGCGGGGGUAGGAUAAGUGGGGUGCAUGUCCCAACCCCAACACUGAUGAAGGGGUGUAAACAUUGAAGGCUAAAUGCGUCUGGAUACAUAUCAAGGUAAAAUUUUAGCAGAAAGAGAAAGCAGAAAAUGUAAUAAAACGAAACUUGCAUCGAAAUGUAACGUAGCCCAGUAAUUUCGGGUAAUGAAAUUGGUGAGACAGAUCCUCUCUGUUGACAUGAUUUUAUUUACAGUGUGGAGAUAAUAACCGGAUAGAUCUCGUUCUGUUACCACUGUCACUUUAUUUAUUCACAGAUUUCUAUAUUAUGUUGCUAAUUCGUGAUAUGACAUUGAAAGCAAAAAUAAAAAUGUGCAAACCCCGAGACUGAGCAUUGUGUUCCUGUAUAAUUGUAAAGCCUUAUUCACACAAAGUUCCAGCUCAGUUUCUGACGUAUCAUUUGCAGAAAUGAUAAACAGAAAAUCUGUCCUUUCCGCAACUACUGUAAGUACGUAUAUGGAAAUACAGCCAGGUUACGCGGUUACAUUGAGAGAACGCAGAAGUUUGCAACAGAAGGAACUGCACUGACAGCACGUCAGAAAUCUGCCAGUAUUGUAGCACGAAACGUGUGUACACAAUGGGACGUGAGAGUCAGUUCAUACUAGCGGUCCUGAUUGCAGCUUCUGUACAUUUGGCCUGUGACGCUGUAGAAAGAUACCCAGAUCCACUCGACUCCAAGAAAUAUUAUCUUCGGUACUCGGAUAACAGUAUCUAUAGCCAAACCUGUCCUGGUAACCUAACCUACGAAUACCCCGUACAGUUGUGUGUUCUGAAAGCUACUUCAUGUUCUUCAGUGAAGCCAGUUCUUAGAGCACUGACAGCUAACCAAUGUGGUUGCGAGACUGGCUUCUAUUGUAAUUCUAUUUAUAAUUUUACAUACUGUACGUAUGAUGGAAUAAAAAUUGUAAAUAACUUUGCCUGCCCGACAGGUAUAUGCCGUAUGAAUAAUACAAAUCCGUGUGUUUAAAGAUAACAGUAUUGUAAUCAUAAGAUCACUCAGUCAGUAGCUUCAUGUAGCCAUUGUGAAAAAUCUGUGCGUGUAUGAACAAUAUUGAAUAUAAUUGAAACUGUAAGGUAUAUUCAGUUUGUAUGACUGGAGUACUAUUACCUCCUGGGUUGAAACCUAUUGCAUAUUGAAAACAACGAUAUAUAUAUAUAUAUACAUAACCUGCAACAUAUUGAAUAUCUCAUCUUCUGGUAGAGGUGAGUAAUCUUAUGGGUCCCCGAUCUUCGAAGAGAAGCAGAUCCGGAUUCCGAAACGUCGCCUUUGGUAUAAAAUUCAGAUUACAUAUAAUAUUAAUUACAACUGGAAUUUUCGGCCUUUAUCGAAAUAUUCGUAAAAGAACUCUAAGAUAUGUAUUAGAUCUAAAUGUCUGUAAGGAUAACAUAUUAAUACAAUUAUUGAGUUUUUGGACAUUAUCCAUUAUUCUGUUCUUUAUUUAAAACACUGCGUUUUAGAUACUGGAUUCUGUCAGUGUCUUCACGAAAAAGUCUACUCGACUCGGCUCAAUCGCUAAAAGUACUAGACCGCACUCCCGGUCCGGAAGUGGUACACAGAAUUCAGUCUCCGAAAAUUUGAUAAAAAAAGGAUGAUAAUGUCUAAUAAUUCAAUAAUUUUGUAAGAUGCAAGUUUCUGAACCUUUCCACUUAACGAAUCUGUAAGCUAUAAGCAAAGCAUGAAGCAUAUAAGAUUUUAAAAUAUGGUAGCGUCUUCACGUCUUACAUUUUACAGAUGUGUCAGUUCUGUAUUACAUUUAUUACAAUAAAGAUUAUAUAUAUUAUUUCA